GCGUGAGUGAUGAAGGCCUUAGGGUUGUAAAGCUCUUUUACCUGGGAGGAUAAUGACGGUACCAGGAGAAUAAGCCCCGGCUAACUUCGUGCCAGCAGCCGCGGUAAUACGAAGGGGGCUAGCGUUGUUCGGAAUCACUGGGCGUAAAGCGCACGUAGGCGGAUCUUUAAGUCAGAGGCGAAAUCCCAAGGCUCAACCUUGGAACUGCCUUUGAUACUGGGGAUCUUGAGUCCGGGAGAGGUGAGUGGAACUGCGAGUGUAGAGGUGAAAUUCGU
rnacentral:rRNA from 1 species